AGAUGCUAUCGGUAUCGCUUUGAGCAUUUUGCCUUUGAAAAUGAGCAUAUUUUGUGAAUAUUACUGUCUGGCAAUAUCUCAACGCAUUUUGUGAUGCAGCCGGUGACCAAUUUCGACGCUGUCCCGUCGCGCCGGCUGCAGGAAAUGUGCACCGCGCGUCAGGUGCGGCGGAAAGCAGCUGUUUCCUGCGCAUUUCUAUGCGCGCAGCGACUAUUUUUCCUUUUAGGCCUACCUUCGUAUUUCCCGCACGCUUCUUUCCACGCUAAAAGUGCCAAGAGGAAGCAAGGAGAAAAGCUCCCGGGAACUCGAAAGGCCUCUUCUGCAGGGACAGGCUUCUUCGGACGAUGCAUCACUCGGUCUUGGCCGCAUGAAAACAGAGCACGAACUCCUCGUUUAUUCGACACAUGCACAGUUGCUGUAUCGCUGACGUGUUGAUUGACUGACAUUUGUGACCAAUGUACCCUUUGUAACGGGUGGACUCACUGUCAGUGUCCUAACCAAAUGAAAGGAAGAAAUCGCACAGAUCGAGAGCCACACAAGUUCCCUGUCGAGCUUUUCGUUGUGGCUGGUCGCGCUCCUCUCGUGUGUAAACGUGGUCCCUGUUAUCACGACGACUGACGAGUACUGUCUGUCGCCGUUUUGACCGCGGAACAACCAAAAGCGGCCGGCGGAAGUCACGCUGCGUGCUCAACAACAUCGCAGCAAUGCGCAGAGAAAGGAGCGCAGAUGCGGUCAAGUCGCUCUUUGUCGCCAAGGUCAUGAAAAGACGCAGGCAGUGGCGUAGCCAGGGGGGGGGGGGCUCACCUGGCUACAGCCCCCCCCCCUGAAAUUUUUUCGUACUGUCAUGUACCGCCGACCAAAACAGCCACCUGCGCCGGAAAUUAUCUGUAUUUUUUCUAGAAUUCCUUUCCACAGUCGAAAAGACACUUCGGUGCGAACAUUGCUGAUUUGGGCUGGCUUAGCAUUACUGUAUAUGCUACAUUAA